rnacentral:lncRNA from 1 species
AUGGGACCCAUGGGGAGAUGGAGAGAAGUAUGGCCUGCCUGCUUCACGGCAGUGAGCAGUGGCAGCGGGCAUCAAACACGCAGGACAUUUAUGCGCCCUAAUAAAACAGCAGCUGUAAUUUUCUCUCUGUUCCUUGGCAGAACCUUGGGGACCAGUGUGCCCUCUGAGUCACCUCUGGAAGGAAUGAUUCUCCCAGCAUUCCUCUUUGGAGAUCCAGGGAGCCCAAGCCGCUGGGAAGCCUGGCUGAGUCAUGGUGCUUGCGGGGUUGGAAACCACCUUAAUGUCACAUCGCUUUCCUGCUCUGCCAGCACAUCACAGUUGUCACAUGAGCAGGCCAGAAAGGCCAUCCUGUUCCUGUGGCAGGCAUUUGUGAAUGGGGAAAGUGGGCCAAUCCUGUGGCUGCUGCGUCGAGUGGCCUCUCUGAUGUGGCAGGGCUGGAUGGCAUUGCUGUGAGCCUCAACACCAUAGGCUGCAGUGCUCUCAGCAGAGUUGUAAUACUGAGUGAAGGUUGCAGAAAUGGCAUGGCUGAAGGGGUCCCCUGCCUUAGUUACCAUGUCUUGCCUCACAAGAAGAGCCAGAUCCACUAACUGUGCCACAGUUUCACAUGCUAAAUAUGCUAAAAUUUCCAUAGUGACAACAUUGGGUUUUAUCUCCAUACUGCUGCAGUCCCACCAGUCUUGGAAUUUGGAAGCUUUUUUGGAGAAACUUAAUGGUCGACUUUCACAGAAUUCUGCAUAUUGAGCGGAAUCCAUAAUUCAAGUGUGUCUUUCUGCUCUCUCCAUUCUUUCUUGUUGUCACCCUGUAAGGAAGUCGACAUGGCUAGGGAUGCUUCAGGAAACUUACAGUCACGGUGGAAGGGGAAGCAAACGUGUCCUUCAUGUGGUGGCAGGAGAGAGAAGUGCCAAGCAAAGUGGGAAAAGCCCCUUAGAAAACCAUCAGAUCUCGUGAGAACUCACUAUCACAAGAAUGGCAUGAGGGUCACCUCCCCCACGAUCCAAUUACCACCCACUGAGUCCCUCCCACAUGUGGAGAUUAUAGGAACUACAAUUCAAGAUGAGAUGUGG